rnacentral:rRNA from 1 species
ACGCUGGCGGCAUGCCUAACACAUGCAAGUCGAACGAAGGCUUCGGCCUUAGUGGCACACGGGUGCGUAACGCGUGGGAAUCUGCCCCUUGGUUCGGAAUAACAGUUGGAAACGACUGCUAAUACCGGAUGAUGACGUAAGUCCAAAGAUUUAUCGCCGAGGGAUGAGCCCGCGUAGGAUUAGGUAGUUGGUGUGGUAAAGGCGCACCAAGCCGACGAUCCUUAGCUGGUCUGAGAGGAUGAUCAGCCACACUGGGACUGAGACACGGCCCAGACUCCUACGGGAGGCAGCAGUGGGGAAUAUUGGACAAUGGGCGAAAGCCUGAUCCAGCAAUGCCGCGUGAGUGAUGAAGGCCUUAGGGUUGUAAAGCUCUUUUACCCGGGAUGAUAAUGACAGUACCGGGAGAAUAAGCUCCGGCUAACUCCGUGCCAGCAGCCGCGGUAAUACGGAGGGAGCUAGCGUUAUUCGGAAUUACUGGGCGUAAAGCGCACGUAGGCGGCUUUGUAAGUAAGAGGUGAAAGCCCAGAGCUCAACUCUGGAAUUGCCUUUUAGACUGCAUCGCUUGAAUCAUGGAGAGGUCAGUGGAAUUCCGAGUGUAGAGGUGAAAUUCGUAGAUAUUCGGAAGAACACCAGUGGCGAAGGCGGCUGACUGGACAUGUAUUGACGCUGAGGUGCGAAAGCGUGGGGAGCAAAC